rnacentral:lncRNA from 13 species
CACUCCUUUUCUUUGCUGACGUUGUGCCUGUUUCCCGUUUACGGAGGGCAACCCCCAGCAGCAGUGACAAGACCACCCCAGCUACGCUGUCCGCAUACUACUUAUGCGUCAGAAUCACCAACCAGAUUUACACUGAGUCACUCAAUAAUCAAAGCUCUAAGGAGUACAAACAGCUGAGGAAACAGGUGGAACAGAUGAUGGAUGACGUCCACAGCACUUUGCCAGAGUCUGACAAAUAUAUGGGUGUAUUUGAUAUAAUCUUCAGGUGAGCUCUAAUGUUGAAUUUAAAAUUCUGCCAUUGAAAAAAAUAAAAAUUUUAAGGACAUUGACAAUUAUAAUUAUUUUUGACUACUGGUCUCACUCUUGCAGUAAUGGAUCAGUCAUUGCAAACUCGACAUUAAUGUUUGGGACUACAUUCAUGAUCAUUCCAACUUUAGCUAAAGGUCUACUUUCCAUUCAUAUCCAAUCAAAUAAAUCCAAAACCCUUGACCUGGACCUCGCCUAUACUGAAGGUCAACUUCCAAUAAAAGCCACACUACCUCUUGUAGCACGUACAACAGCAACCGUAACUUCCUCACCACCAUCUACCACAAAUACCCCUGCAGCAACGACUACUACAGUUGCCUUAGUUAGUACGGCUAGCCGUUCAGGAAGGGUCGGGGAUGGAACUGCAUCUACAGCAAUGAUUUCAUCUGGCAACAUCACCAGUCUUGCAACAAUUAAUAUCACAAGUAGUCAUACCCUCACAACCACCACCACUAGUCCUGACCAAAACAGCACAAUUAGCAGCAUUACCACUCAUAUUCCUGAAGAACAUAACACUAGAAUUAGCAACAUUACCACUCAUAUUCCUGAAGAACAUAUCACUACAAUUAGCAACAUUGCCACUCAUAUUCCUGAAGAACAUAACACUACAAUUAGCAGCAUUACCACUCAUAUUCCUGAAGAACAUAUCACUACAAUUAGCAACAUUACCACUCAUAUUCCUGAAGACCAAAACACUACAAUUAGCAACAUUACCACUCAUAUUCCUGAAGAACAUAUCACUACAAUUAGCAACAUUACCAUUCAUAUUCCUGAAGAACAUAUCACUACAAUUAGCAACAUUACCACUCAUAUUCCUGAAGACCAAAACACUACAAUUAGCAACAUAACCACCCCUAUUCCUGGAGACCAUAACAUUACAAUUAGCAACAUAACCACCCCUGCUCCUGGGGACCCUAACAUAACAAUUAGCAACGUAAGCACCCAUAUUCCUGGAGACCACAACAUUACAAUUAGCAACAUAACCACCCCUAGUCCUGGGGACCCUAACAUAACAAUUAGCAACGUAAGCACCCAUAUUCCUGGAGACCACAACAAUACAAUUAGCAACACAACCACCCCUGCUCCUGAAGACCACAACAUUACAAUUAGCAACAUAACCAUCCCUAGUCCUGGGGACCCUAAUAUAACAAUUAGCAAUGUAAGCACCCAUAUUCCUGGAGACCACAACAAUACAAUUAGCAACACAACCACCCCUAUUACCCCUAAAAAUCCUCCCCAGACCAGUAGCACGACAGUCUUCCGUAAAACCUCUCCAUCAACAACUGCCUCAGGCCAAUCUAACCCCCCAGUUGCCCCUACUGAGAGAGCAACAAGCAGGCAUCAGGCUGCCACAGGCCAAACGACCAAUCAUAAGAACCCAGAGAAUACGGAGGCGACACAUAAGACCACAGAGAAUGCUGCAGCUGUAGUUGCUGGGGGCGGAGAGGGAGUCCCAAGAUGGGGGAUCGCUCUAUUGGUACUGGCUGUCCUGACCUUGUUAAUCCUCCUUAUUCUCCUAAUACUGCUGCUAGUGUGGUUGUGCUGUAGGCAGAGAUGUGGAAGUUUCAGCCCAUAUAACCAGAUCAACCACGGGGCAGACAUCCAAAUGUACUCCACACACAGCCGCUUCGACGUGCCUAACGGCAAGCCUAAUGACGAAAUGCGGGGACCAUCGAAAAACCGAACAGGGAUGCAUGUGGUGAACGAAUACUGACACACAGAAGCUCCAGUCAAUUAG